rnacentral:rRNA from 1 species
AACGAACGCUGGCGGCAUGCCUAACACAUGCAAGUCGAACGAGACCUUCGGGUCUAGUGGCGCACGGGUGCGUAACGCGUGGGAACCUUCCCUUAGGUUCGGAAUAACUCCCCGAAAGGGGUGCUAAUACCGGAUAAUGUCUUCGGACCAAAGAUUUAUCGCCUUUGGUUGGGCCUGCGUUGGAUUAGCUAGUUGGUAGGGUAAAAGCCUACCAAGGCGACGAUCCAUAGCUGGUCUGAGAGGAUGACCAGCCACACUGGGACUGAGACACGGCCCAGACUCCUACGGGAGGCAGCAGUGGGGAAUAUUGGACAAUGGGCGAAAGCCUGAUCCAGCAAUGCCGCGUGAGUGAUGAAGGCCUUAGGGUUGUAAAGCUCUUUUACACGGGAUGAUAAUGACAGUACCGGGAGAAUAAGCUCCGGCUAACUCCGUG